GAAGGACAAGCUUCUCAAAUCGCACCACCGACCAUUCUAGAGCCAAUAGGAAAACGGAAAGGCCGCAAGACCCGCCCGCAGCCCCAGUGCCCCCCGCCACGACCCCUAGGCGCCGUAGCCACCUGUCGCCGCCGGAGAACCUGAUCAUCGCAGUUGUAGAAAUAAAUGCUGUCCAAAAGACUUCCAACUAACCCAUCAUAUUCCUGCUCACGCUAGAUGCACAGCAUACAUGAAUCACUGGCUUUCAGGUUUUCCCACCUUCCUGAAAGAAUGACUCACCAGCCCUUAAGAGCAAGAAGGGAGACUGAGAAGUCCUUUAUUCAUUAGACUGAAAUACUGCCUCGGCCAAGGGGACCCUAUCACCACAGGUGACCUCCAGCAGUCUUUCUCUAGCCCAGAACCAUUAGGACUCACUGAAAAAGCCUUCUAGGGUGGCUUCAUCCUGCCCACUGGAGGCCCUGACACCUGCUUUCCCACCAUGGGUGUGGCCAGAUCUCAGGCUCUCCAGCAGGCAGCCUGCGUGUCCCCCAGAAUGCUCUGACUGGGUACUUUGUCACUUUCCAUCAGUGACAAAGCAGACUGAAGGGUCCUGACGACGUGGGACAAGAUGGGUAAGGGGUGUGAGCACAUUGGUGAGUCCUCCUACUGCAGGUGUCUUUCUUCCCUGCACCGACUCCACCUGUGUGUCCUUAUACCCUGGCCUGCCUACCUGAGCCACUUAUCUCAAGGACAGGAGGGUAGGAUUAAGGGAAUGUGGGUCCUCUCCUAAGGACAAUUUUUUUUUUGUUUUUUGAGACAGGGUCCCCACUAU